GAUGAACGCUAGCGGCAGGCCUAACACAUGCAAGUCGAGGGGUAGAACACUUCGGUGUUUGAGACCGGCGCACGGGUGCGUAACGCGUAUGCAAUCUACCUUGUACAGGGGAAUAGCCCAGAGAAAUUUGGAUUAAUGCCCCAUAGUAUAUAACCUUCGCAUGUUGGUUAUAUUAAAGUUCCAACGGUACAAGAUGAGCAUGCGUCCCAUUAGCUAGUUGGUAAGGUAACGGCUUACCAAGACGAUGAUGGGUAGGGGUCCUGAGAGGGAGAUCCCCCACACUGAUACUGAGACACGGACCAGACUCCUACGGGAGGCAGCAGUGAGGAAUAUUGGUCAAUGGGCGCAAGCCUGAACCAGCCAUGCCGCGUGCAGGAAGACGGUCCUAUGGAUUGUAAACUGCUUUUAUACAGGAAGAAACCCUCCCACGUGUGGGAGAUUGACGGUACUGUAGGAAUAAGGAUCGGCUAACUCCGUGCCAGCCGCCGCCGUAAGAC
rnacentral:rRNA from 1 species